rnacentral:rRNA from 1 species
GACGAACGCUGGCGGCACGCUUAACACAUGCAAGUCGAACGGAGAUAAUUUGAGUUUACUUAGAUUAUCUUAGUGGCGGCCGGGUGAGUAACACGUGAGCACCCUCCCUUUGAGAGAGGGAUAGCUUCUGGAAACGGAUGGUAAUCCCUCAUAACGUAUUGAGACCGCAUGAUCUUGAUACCAAAGAUUUAUCACUCAAAGAUGGGCUCGCGUCUGAUUAGCUAGAUGGUGAGGUAACGGCUCACCAUGGCGACGAUCAGUAGCCGGACUGAGAGGUUGAACGGCCACAUUGGGACUGAGACACGGCCCAGACUCCUACGGGAGGCAGCAGUGGGGAAUAUUGCACAAUGGGGGAAACCCUGAUGCAGCGAUGCCGCGUGGAGGAAGAAGGUUUUCGGAUUGUAAACUCCUGUCUAAAGGACGAUAAUGACGUACU